rnacentral:rRNA from 1 species
UACGGAGGGUGCAAGCGUUAUCCGGAUUCACUGGGUUUAAAGGGUGUGUAGGCGGGUAUUUAAGUCAGUGGUGAAAUCUCUGAGCUCAACUCAGAAACUGCCAUUGAUACUAUUUAUCUUGAAUUCUGUUGAGGUGGGCGGAAUACAUCAUGUAGCGGUGAAAUGCUUAGAUAUGAUGUAGAACACCGAUUGCGAAGGCAGCUCACUAAGCAGCGAUUGACGCUGAGGCACGAAAGCGUGGG